rnacentral:rRNA from 1 species
AUUGAACGCUGGCGGCAUGCCUUACACAUGCAAGUCGAACGGUAACGCGGGGCAACCUGGCGACGAGUGGCGAACGGGUGAGUAAUGUAUCGGAACGUGCCCAGUUGUGGGGGAUAACUGCUCGAAAGAGCAGCUAAUACCGCAUACGACCUGAGGGUGAAAGCGGGGGAUCGCAAGACCGCGCGCAAUUGGAGCGGCCGAUAUCAGAUUAGGUAGUUGGUGGGGUAAAGGCCAACCAAGCGAACGAUAUGUAGCUGGUCUGAGAGGACGACCAGCCACACUGGGACUGAGACACGGCCCAGACUCCUACGGGAGGCAGCAGUGGGGAAUUUUGGACAAUGGACGCAAGUCUGAUCCAGCCAUGCCGCGUGCGGUAAGAAGGCCUUCGGGUUGUAAACCGCUUUUGUCAGGGAAGAAAAGGGCGACUCUAAUACAGUUGCCUCAUGACGGUACCUGAAGAAUAAGCACCGGCUAACUACGUGCCAGCCGCCGCCGUAAAAC